CCUACGGGGGACAGCAGUGGGGGAUAUUGCACAAUGGGGGAAACCCUGAUGCAGCGACGCCGCGUGUGGGAAGACGGUCUUCUGGAUUGUAAACCACUGUCCCCAGGGACGAAAAUGACGGUACCUGGGGAGGAAGCUCCGGCUAACUACGUGCCAGCAGCCGCGGUAAUACGUAGGGAGCAAGCGUUGUCCGGAAUUACUGGGUGUAAAGGGAGCGUAGGCGGGGAUGCAAGUUGGGUGUCAAAACUACCGGCUCAACCGAUAGUCGCACUCAAAACUGCAGCUCUUGAGUGAAGUAGAGGCAGGCGGAAUUCCUAGUGUAGCGGUGAAAUGCGUAGAUAUUAGGAGGAACACCAGUGGCGAAGGCGGCCUGCUGGGCUUUGACUGACGCUGAGGCUCGAAAGUGUGGGGAGCAAACAGGAUUAGAUACCCGGGUAGUC
rnacentral:rRNA from 1 species